GACGAACGCUGGCGGCGUGCCUAAUACAUGCAAGUUGAGCGCUGAAGGUUGGUACUUGUCCCGACUGGAUGAGCAGCGAACGGGUGAGUAACGCGUGGGGAAUCUGCCUUUGAGCGGGGGACAACAUUUGGAAACGAAUGCUAAUACCGCAUAAAAACUUUAAACACAAGUUUUAAGUUUGAAAGAUGCAAUUGCAUCACUCAAAGAUGAUCCCGCGUUGUAUUAGCUAGUUGGUGAGGUAAAGGCUCACCAAGGCGAUGAUACAUAGCCGACCUGAGAGGGUGAUCGGCCACAUUGGGACUGAGACACGGCCCAAACUCCUACGGGAGGCAGCAGUAGGGAAUCUUCGGCAAUGGACGAAAGUCUGACCGAGCAACGCCGCGUGAGUGAAGAAGGUUUUCGGAUCGGAAAACUCUGUUGGUAGAGAAGAACGUUGGUGAGAGUGGAAAGCUCAUCAAGUGACGGUAACUACCCAGAAAGGGACGGCUAACUACGUG
rnacentral:rRNA from 1 species